GGGAGUGUUUAGUGGUUUCGACAGUUGGCUAAAAGGACACUGGCUGCAAUGGGGUGAGCCCCUUAUAGCUCAAGAGUAAACGCAAACAAACAAGAGCGUGAAUCAUCAGUGGUAAAUCUGCUGAUGAGUCAACCUCAGGAUCUAGCUUCUCUUUCUUUCUAGAGAGUUAGUCUCCUCGAGGGGGACAUUGUUGAAGGGGGAAAAAUUUGUCGCAGGGGGAAUUGUCAGCCAAGCUGACUAAGUUGUAGACGCCUUUGUUACUGGUCAAUUGGAUGGGGGUUCGAGUCCCCUCACUUCCACCA
rnacentral:tmRNA from 2 species